rnacentral:rRNA from 1 species
GACGAACGCUGGCGGCGUGCUUAACACAUGCAAGUCGUACGGUAAGGCCCUUUCGGGGGUUCACGAGUGGCGAACGGGUGAGUAACACGUGAGUAACCUGCCCACAACUUUGGGAUAACGCUAGGAAACUGGUGCUAAUACUGGAUAUGUGCUUCUGCUGCAUGGUGGGGGUUGGAAAGCUCCGGCGGUUGUGGAUGGACUCGCGGCCUAUCAGCUUGUUGGUGGGGUAGUGGCCUACCAAGGCGGCGACGGGUAGCCGGCCUGAGAGGGUGACCGGCCACAUUGAGACUGAGAUACGGCCGAGACUCCGACGGGAGGAAGCAGGGGGGAAGAUUGAACAAUGGGCGCAAGCCUGAUGCAGCAACGCCGCGUGCGGGAUGACGGCCUUCGGGUUGUAAACCGCUUUCAGCAGGGACGAAGCUUUUUGUGACGGUACCUGCAGAAGAAGCACCGGCUAACUACGUG